UUGUUCUCUCUUUCCCCUCUUCAUCUACAACUUAGGACUUUAGAGGGUUACUGGGUACUGAGGAAUUAAGUGACUUGCACAGAAUUAUACUGCCAGGAAGGUAGAACUUGAACCCAAGUCUUCCUGACUCCAAACCUGGCUAUCCACUAUGUUACCCUGUCAUUCAUGGUUCUGUUGAUUUGAGUCCUGUCAUAAAAAAAAAAAAGUUAGCUCUUAGACUCCUCUUAGUAUUAUUUUUUCUUUCAUAGGAUCGUAGAUUUGGAACUGUAAAGGAUUUUGGAGUUCAGUGGGUCCAACCUCUUCAUUUUACAGAUGAGAAAAUUGAGGAUUAAAGAGGGAUUAAGCAACUUGUCUAAAGUGGCCCAGCUAGGUUGUUCUGAGAAUUGGAUGAAGCAAGAAUGGGAUACGAAUGGGGAAAGCUAUAUAAAAAGUGCCUAUGGGGGUCCCUCCUAAGGAAUUGUCCUUCUAGGAAAAUGCAGACAGAAGUCAAAUGGAGAGGCGGAACCAAGAUGGCAGAGUAAAGAAGCACUUCACCAAGCUCUCCGAAAUUCCCCUCCUCGUGGCUCUAGAAGAAUGUUUCAAAUCCAAUUCCAGACUUCUCUGUUUUCUUAAAUAUACAACGUGAAGUUUGUCAUUUGCUUUUGUGACAACAGGACGGAGCAGUAUCCUUUUCUCGAAGUCCAGGCUUAUCUCCUUGUGUUAGGCAGCCCAGCUCUUGGUGGACUUGGUCUUGGCAGGAGCUCACUUCCUAGACAGAGUUUUUUCCAGUAACACUUGGGACUAGUUUUGUAUAAAGGUCACUUGCCCAGAGAGCAAAUAACUCCAAGAA
rnacentral:lncRNA from 1 species